AAAAAAAAAAAAAAAAAAAAAAAAAAGAUGCGUUUU
rnacentral:ribozyme from 14 species